rnacentral:misc_RNA from 1 species
AAGUCGUAACAAGGUUUCCGUAGGUGAACCUGCGGAAGGAUCAUUAACAAAUCUCUGUGCCUCGGCACAUUCACGCCAGCGGCGCAAGCUGCUGGACAUUUCUGCUUGAGUUUUGACUGAAUCACAAAUCAUUAUACAACUUUUAACAAUGGAUCUCUUGGCUCUU